UUACCCACUGAAAAUGGAAAAAAAAAAUAAAAUGGACAACUGUUAAUGAUUGCUACUUCCUCAAAUCCUGUGACAGUCUAAUACCAAGCACUCUUAUCUUUAAAAUGAAUUUCUUCUCAGAUAAGCCAAACGGUACAGUUCCAUCAUGUACACAAACACGCACACAGCUUUGAAUGAAAAUGGUCUUAUAAAAAGGUGAUAGCUUACCGAUCGUGAGACUGAAAAAAAGUACAAAUAGGAUCAACAUUUUUGUGAGCCUUUUGUCAAAGAGCAGCGAGUAAAACACGUGUUAGUGAGCACGGACACUAAAAAUGAGGUCAUGUGCAACGGAGACUAACAAGAUGCCUUCUUUUGACUCGACAGUCUUCAUCGGGCCUUUCCCCCUAGAAUGACUAGUAAUAAAGUCUUCAUAAUACCGAAGUAAAGCUCUGCUGUGGAGAGCAGCUAAUAUCUGCAUUAUCAGUGCCCUGUGACUACAUAAAGCCUACGUGCUUUGGUUGCCAUUGAAGAGGAAGUGAGAGUUGGGUAACGUGUCAGAGUAUUAAAGCAGAAUAUUAAACUAAGUGUACUCUAGGGAGACUCAAUAAUCUGAGCCUUUCCGACAUCGAGAGCUAGAAAAUAAAACAGAAGAGUGAGCAUAUAUUUUCUGUUCACCUCUGCACGACAAGCUUCCACUCUCUGUCAGACAAAGACGUUCAGAUGACUUCCUUAAUAUUGAGAACCACCUGCCAUUAGAUGCAGAUAUGAAAUCAGUUUAAUAUGAUAGAAAAGGAAGAACAUGACUCACGUGUGUUUACAGAUCCAACGAGGAUACCUGACAGUUUUUCCAUUGCCCGCCUAACAUAGAAACAGUGUGUGUGAAAACCAACAGGGGCCGAAAGGUCUGCUGUUCUGGUUCUUGGUGCCAGUUUCAUCAGAAACAAAUGGAACCAGAGGGGCACCGCUGGUCCUUCAGUGCCAUCACAACCUCAGCAAAAAGUUCAUUCCUGAGCAAACCUCCAUAUACUGGCAAAGUAAUUCCAUCGUUCUUCAUGUUUUUUCAAAAGGACAAGAGGAAUUUCAACACCAAAGUGAGUCAUUUAAAAACAGGACUGCAAUUUUCCGUGAUCAACUGGCUUCUGGCAACUUCUCCCUUGUCAUCAAUCCGCUGAUGCUGAAAGACGAUCAGCUCAGCAUCGAAGUUGCUUACAUACCAGAAAGCAGGACGCUCUGCCAAACCACUGUUCAUGUAGCAGCUCGUUUUGAGAUGCCAAAUAUUGUGGUCAACACCAUAGAUAUGAUGGCUAUGUGUGCAACAAAGGGGGGCUUUCCUGAACCAGCGCUAUCAUGGAUCUCCGUGGACCACGAGGGACAUGAACGUACACUUGAACCACCUGAUGUCCAGACCCUUGAGAUCUACAAGGAAGAUGAUGGCACCUACAGAGUUACCAGUACUGCCAACAUCAGAGGAUCACAGAAAGUUACAUGCAGCGUUUACAACCCAACUUCAAAGGAGACAUUGAGUGUAAUUAAAGACGUAAUUACAGAUGAAGGCUGGAGUCUGCCUUUGGGAGCUGUUCUUGGAGUACCGGUAAUACUUGCAGUAAUACUCGGAGCAGGAGCCGCCAUUGGCUGCCGAAAAAUGAAAAGGAGAGACUGUUCAGGACAAAGCCUACAACAACUGAGCGCCAAUGAACCUGCACCAUUGGAAGACAGCACUCCUGAUCCUGCAGCUGUUGUAGUUGAUGAUGUAGCUAAAUAAAGGGAAAACACUAAAUAGAAGACAUAGCAGGAACUCAUGUUUCUGAAAUAAAGACCUCAUCUAUGGAGGACCACAGAGCCACACACACCGAAAAAUAGUGUUUUUAUUUUAAAUUCGAUUAUUAAAUAAUAAAUAACUUUAUUAACGUUUGAAUAAGUAAAAUAAUAAAUAAAUGAAUCUGUAAAUGAAUUUACAAAUGCAUAAUUUAUUGUACAAUUCAUUAUUUAAGCAAAAAAAGUCUUUACUUGAUGCACGUGGCUCUUGUGGUGCUCCAUAUGUUAGCAUGUUACCUUCAACAGGUGGUUAUAGGCUGAGUCUACAGGCGCACACUCGGCGGAUCAACUCUACAUUUCACUGCAGGGCCCCUUCAUUUUUCACAAUCGGUGUCGGGCAGAAUGUAAAUACAUAGGCUGAAAUCUAAAUUUUACAUUUGAUGUUUACAUCUAAAUUAUUUAGCUGUAACAAAACAGGAAUAAAAUGUAGGACACGGAAACUAAAGUUCAAAAUCUGAAGAAAUAGAUCACACGCAGUUUACUGAUGGAUCGAGAUAUUAGUUACCCAGAUAGCAUCAGACCCCAAGGUGGAUCUGCCCUGAAUACAGUGUAUUAAAUAAAAACUGUUUUUGUAGCAGUUUAUGAGCAUUACGUUGUUUUAAUGAGUAUUUAGUAAAAUUUAAAUGUCCCAAUUAAAUGUUACAAACCUUUUUUCUUUAAAGAGAGGGUUUUGUUAUUUCUACUGUUAGUGGAUACAUAUCCUUAGAUUUGCUUUAAUGUCUCCCAGUUUAAUCAUUUCUAAUAUGAGCCAAUCCCACUUUUACUCACAGAUGAUGGAUCUCUUACAGCCACAACAGAGACGUUUCAGAGCAAUUUCACGUAUAACUCAAAGAAUGCAGGGCAGCUUUCCAAGUCUUUAAAGAAUGUAAAGCUUUAUCAGUAAAGGCAAAUGUCUUGUUUUUAUAGAUUUUAAAUAUUUCAGUAUAGUUUUGGGAGGAUGUACACAGAUGAUGAUUCAAAAUAUUGUGACGUUAUAAACCGAUCUGGGUAGGAUGAGCUGGAAAAUUAGGAGAGGAAAUAAAAUAUUCAGUUAGUUGAACUGGUUGAAAUUCAGUUUCUACUGUUAGAGUAUUUCCUGCAAGAAACGUAAUAACAAGCGAUCAAAGCUGUCAUCAUGAUAUCAAGGGCCAGAUUAGGCCGAGAUGUCAGUGUUACGAUGCAUUUGCAAAAUUGCACCCAUGCAAGUGGAAAAUUCUUUUGUUGAUCUAUUAACGGUGCACUGAUUUCCAUGCAAAGAUGCAGUCAGUACAUCUUAAUGAUUACCUGACUUGAGUGGAUUAGCGGCUCAGAAAUAAGCACACAGUGAGAGACUGUGAAGGAGCGCGUGACAGCUCUGCAACAUCACAGAUCACUUUUGCGCGGUUUCUUUUUCUUUUUUUUUCGCAGAUCGGUUGUAUGCAAGUCUUUCAAAGAGGCUGCUAUUAGUGGGACUCAGAAAGAUCAAGUGCAUUAGAUUGACAGUCUUACCCCAUAUGGAUUUCAUUCAUUCAGAGAGCAGAUGAAGGAGCGAGAUGGCAUCAAAGUUAAAGAGAGGCGGAAAUUACACCUCAAACAUGCACGCGCGUGUGUGCGUGACGGAUGCGCUAAUUAAACACAUAGCAAUACACUUCUGGUUCUGUGCAAGCAGACUCCAAUCCAGACACAGUUUAUAGUAGAGCCUAUGAUAUAUGCCUUUUGGUGGAUCAGGUUGUAGGUCAACCCACUGAGACUGAUUUGAGUAUGUCAGCAACGAUAUGUCAGCAAUCAGGCUUAAUGUGCAGUGUAAUCAGAUUGCAAUCAGAGUACCUGUAGCUGCUUUAAAAACAUAAUUUAAAAAUAUAUUUAGUUGAGUUUUAAAAGCUUAAAGUCAUUUUAGUCUCAUCUUCACUCAUACUAUAUAUUCACAUUAAGAAACAGAAGCAGCAUUAAGCCACAGCUGCACAAACCACCCAAAAGAAGAAAAAAACACAGCUUAAUGUUAAAUAAAAGAGAUCAAACAUCCAGCUAUGAGUGAAUAAACACUGAUGAGGAGUCCGGUACCACCUGUAGCAAAGCCUCCACCACCAUCAGCACAAUCAGGUUUAGAGUACACUGCAGACGGGCCUUGAUCGAUACUGGGAUGCUCAGUUUUGGUUUCAUUAUUCUAAAAAUGCAACACUUUGAAUCUUUAGAUAUCAUUAAAUUCUGGUACCGGUGUAUGUUUUUCUGUAGUUUUGGGGCCUGAUUCGAUUAUUUUACCAUUCUAGUGUUAAACGUUUUUGAAUUUUUUCUGCAAGAGUUAUUAAUUGAGGCAAAAAUGGGAGCAAAAUCCACAAAUUACUGCUUACAGGUGUGGUUAGUUCGGUCGUUGGUUUUCUAAACACAGAUGCAGUCAAUUCAAUAUGACAUACUCAGUCUGCCAAAGGCAAUGCAAUUUCAAGCACGGUCAAAAAAUAAGACAUGGUAAUUUAAGAUAAUUUUCUAGCAGGACAGGUGCAGCAUUGUAAUUGUAAACAGAAAAUGAAGUAAAUUAAUAUGGAACGUGUACGUUAAAUAUAGGCCUACAGUGGCAGUCUAGCAGAGAAUCGUUAUAAUGGAGACAAACUUCAGUAACUGACAGAGUCCAAUGUAGGACUGUAAGAAGUAACAAUUGGACAUCAUGUUUUGAUGAUGGGAAAUGUGUGAUUGAAAAAAAAUGGGUUUGCUGAUUUCGUGGGGGAAUGUUUGGCGUGUGGUGGAUCAGAAAUUUGAUUCCUUUUAGGGUUGUACAUUUUUAUUCCCUAUAUUUUUUGAUUGACUUAAUUGUUGUUUUGAAUGUGUUGCUGUAUGGAAUAUGCAGUAGGAAUGAAAAGGGAGUGGUGAGAAUUGUGCCUGGGUUGACUGUGUGUAGAUCCAUUGGUACUGCCUUUGGUUGGGACUACAGUACACAGAAAUGUAGUCAUUCAUCUCCCCUCACUAUUUCCCCUGUUUAAGGUAACUGCCAUGCACAAAACUCUACAAACUUUUUUACUCCAUCAUCAUUGUUCAUUGUAAGGGAAGAGGUGAAUGGUGGACUGUUUCAGCUGUGUAAGCUAGCUUUUAAUACUGUCCCACCAUGUUGAAUGAUGUUUUUUCUGCCACUGUCUGCAUAUUUAAGUUAACUACUGAAAGACAUACAGAACUAAAGUAUUAUUUAAUUACUGUGGAAAGGCAGUGUCAGCUAAAAUAUGUGAGUUAAUUAGAUGUAUUUACCUUAUGUCACAGUUCAUGUUGUGCACUGCCUGAAGUCUUCUCAUCAGCUAAUACAGAAAAUAACAGUAACUUUGUUUGGAAACUGUGGUUCUGAGACAGAGUUUAUCAUUGCAGAGAGAAUACGGGUUUGGUUGUGUCUUUUGUAACUGACACUCUAUACAGAAGUCGAGAGCUGCAUGUAUCUUCAUUCAUCUCCAGUUUGAGGGCACAACAUAUGCACGCAUGCGUAUUUUUGAUCUAUAUCUCACACACUGUCAGAGCUGUGAACUCCAUUACAUGGACUGAGCAAUUCCUGCAACUGAAGCCACGGUAUGUUGAAGACAUUUUGUUGAUUCAUUUUGAGUUUUGUUGAUUUUUAGUAAAUACUGACAUUACUUUUUUGUGUUUUUUUUAGUUUCACAAAGUUUGCAAUGCGUUAGUACAUCUAGCCCAUACUGUCACUUAUUCUUGCUCUGAUUUAAACCUCUCUCUGAGUAAGCAGAGGGCUGCAGUGCCUUGUGGUGACUAUUGUUGUGAUUUGGCAAUGAAUAAAUAAAUUGAAAUUGAAA